AAACUUUACAAUGCUGGCAACAGCGAUAAGGGAACCUCGAGUGCCAGGUUACAAAUCUGGCUGUCGAGAUGCCUAAAAAGCAUUUCAUAGCAAGGGCCGGGCAAGACCGGUGCCAGCCGCCGCGGUAACACCGGCGGCUCGAGUGGUAACCGUUAUUAUUGGGUCUAAAGGGUCUGUAGCCGGCCGGAUAAGUCUCUUGAGAAAUCUGGCAGCUUAACUGUCAGGCUUUCAGGAGAUACUGUCUGGCUCGGGGCCGGGAGAGGUGAGAGGUACUUCAGGGGUAGGGGUGAAAUCUUGUAAUCCUUGAAGGACCACCAGUGGCGAAGGCGUCUCACCAGAACGGACCUGACGGCAAGGGACGAAAGCUAGGGGCACGAACCGGAUUAGAUACCCGGGUAGUCCUAGCCGUAAACGAUACUCGCUAGGUGUCGGCCACGGUGCGACCGUUGUCGGUGCCGUAGGGAAGCCGUGAAGCGAGCCACCUGGGAAGUACGGCCGCAAGGCUGAAACUUAAAGGAAUUGGCGGGGGAGCACCACAACGGGUGGAGCUUGCGGUUU
rnacentral:rRNA from 1 species